AAUCAACGCUGGCGGCGUGCCUAACACAUGCAAGUCGAACGAGAAGGUGACUUCGGUCACUGGAUAGUGGCGUCCGGGUGAGUAACACGUAGGUAAUCUACCUUCGGGUGGGGAAUAACGUCUCGAAAGAGACGCUAAUACCGCAUAAUGCAGCGGCACCUAAUGGUGAUUAGUUGUUAAAGCGGGGGAUCUUCGGACCUCGCGCCUGAAGAGGAGCCUGCGGCAGAUUAGCUAGUUGGUGAGGUAAUGGCUCACCAAGGCUUCGAUCUGUAGCUGGUCUGAGAGGACGGCCAGCCACACUGGCACUGACACACGGGCCAGACUCCUACGGGAGGCAGCAGUGGGAAUUUUGGGCAAUGGGCGAAAGCCUGACCCAGCAACGCCGCGUGAAGGAGGAAAUCCUUCGGGAUGUAAACUUCAUAAGUAAGGGAGAAAGCUGCGGAUCGAAUAGUCCGCAGUCCGGCGGUACCUUACGUAAGCCACGGCUAACUACGUGCCAGCC
rnacentral:rRNA from 1 species